AGUUUUGGCAUAAAAAUAGGAUUAUGACUCCACAUUAGAAACAAGAUGAAGGACACUGGAGCGGCAAGAUGAUCUACUAAAUAGGGCAUUGGACUAGGACUUCAGACAUCUAAUAACUAAUUACAGUGAAUUGGCUGAUCACGCUUACCACUGCCCUCUACUGAAGGGAAACAGAAGUGCUGAGGGCCUAGAAACCUAGGCAUGGACCAGGACCCCAUUGUGCUUGGAGCUGUUCAAACCCAGAGCAAAAAGACAGUCCCUGUUAGCUGGUCGAGGUGCAUCAGUGUAUAUCCAGAGCACUACAAAGGACAACGCAUUCCCUGAACCACUGCCCACAUCAGAGAGUGGGGGCUGAUUUUCCAUUGACUGCUCUUUGUGAAGUUAUUUACACCAGUGCAUAGCAGGGUCAGGUGGCCAGUUUGAAUCAGUGGAGGAUCUGGCUUUCAAUUUCUAAGGCCUCACCUACACAGUAAAGUUGUGCUAAUUUAACUUAAAUAUGUUUUAAAAUACGAAACUGAUGCAAACUACUGUGUGGACACAAGUAAUGUGGUUUAAUAGUAUCUCAUUAUGACUUAAUUUAAGCCUGUUUGACUUCAGCUAAACUGAACAAAAUAUGCAUGCUAAAAUCAGUGCAUGAUUCACACAAGGGCUUGCUGUAUGAAUUUAAAUUCACAGCUAAGGUAACAACAGGGCAUCUUUCUCAUGCUGACAGGGCCUCGUUUGAUGGUUGGGUGCAAAACGCUGUGAAACUUGUUUUGUUUCUCUUCAGCUGCAGCCACUAGAAUUCUGAAACGAAAAAGGAAAACCAGGCAUCACACCCUAACCAUGAAUGUUGUCAAAUAGCAUGCUUAGAUAAGGAUUAGUUAUGUGCGGAUUUCUUUUCAUUCCA